ACAAAGAAGACAGUUACGUUAAAAGCUGCAAACAAUCGACGAAGAGUUUGUACUCUGUUUCAAACCAGUAGUUUCCCAGCUGAAUAACCACCUUGCCAAGUAAACGGACAAAAUGACAAGUAAUCUUUUUGCACUGUAGCAGUUACAAAGCUGUGGAUCCGCGAAGAAACAGUUGGAAAUCUUUUCAUCUCGUGGAAGAAUUAGAAGAGUACAAGCUCUUGGGGUAGUUAAGGGGUGGAUUUCUUUCCCGUGGUGAGCAUUGACUAAAGGCAACGUCUGAGAUGAAAAGGUGGAUAUUUACAGGGAAGCUGCAAGAUAAAGAGUAAUCUAGCCAAGGGCGACGCUCCAGACGUCGGCUCUUAAAAUAAAACACGUGCUAUCUCUGAUACGUUCGUGUCUAAAGCAUUCCCUUUUUCUUCCUCAAAUAUUGUAAUGAUUUUCAAUUUUGCAGGGGGGGGAAAAUAGUCACGAUGAGUUCCAUUCGUUCGACCACUUUUGCCACCAACAGACAUCGAAAUCGAAUCAUAUUGCUACAAAAGACUAUGGUUGCCAAUAACUGUAACAGACGACCAUUUAAAAUUCUAGUGAUAUCUGUAUCGAUUGCAGAAUAUACAUAUUGAAUGCAGAUGCAUCAUGCGAGCUACCAGCUCUGUAACAACCUCUCGGUUGAAAGUCGUACUAACUGUACCUAUUUAUAUGAAAGAAAGGAAACGAAAUGGUGUCAUUAUGUACACUGCUGUUAGUAGUGUACUAUAGUUAUCUUACCUCAUCGCCACUUGCUACCGCUGUAGACAAUCUCCCCUAAGCCGAAGAGCUAAUGUAAGGAAGAAAAGAUGAUGUAUGUUGGGCUUCGAGUUUCUCUCGCUUCAUCCACUUGUCACGGAAACAAAAGAAGAAAGAGGCGAUUCAAAAAGUGGUCCGGCGAAGCUACUCAUUAUCGAACCUCUUCGAGACAGGCUGUCGUUGCUCGUUAAGGAUCAUCAUGACGCGUUGUAAGCGUGCAAGGAGCAUCGAUUCAAAUGCGGAUUCGAAAAAGCCGUACAGCAUCGCGUGUGCACGUCCGGACACAACCUUGACCUUGCCUUUUCGUUGGUUGGCACAGCUUUAUUCGAGGAUAAAUGACGUAGCCGGCAUGCGCCAUCGUUUCAUGCUGGCCAAGCAUUAUAACACACAACGCGAGUACCAAUGGUCAUCGUUAAUUCUUCCGAAUCGCGCGAACUGCUAAUGCGAAGCGGGAUCGCAGAAAAGAUGAAAAAAUAACUCCGGAGAACCAUUGCUUGCGAUCUGAACAGAACCAUCUUUUGGAAUUUUGCAUUCAAGGAAUUAAAGACGGUACGGUUUGUGUCCAGUUACGAAAUUUUUGUAUCUUUGUUAGUUAGUUUUCGAAAGAUAUCGUGAAGUACGCUAUAAGGCUUGCAAAAUAAUAAAAUGCAAUAAAACUACCGUUCGAUCAUCUUUUUCAAAGAAAGCCUAAACGCGAGAGGAUUGUGUAUCGCUUAUGCCUGGCAUAAUACAAAUGGUAAAUUACGAACGUUAUGCGAGACGUAAGAGCUUAUGAUCGCAGAUAAGCAAUCGACGACUUUCUCGAUAACGUUAAACGCUUACAACAUCGAAUUCCAAUGGAGUGUCGCAAGAACGAAUCUCUGUCGAUAUCGCAGUGAGAUUACGAGAUCAACGCCGUGCGUUGAUCAUGGAAACGCAACCUUGGCCUUGACUCCGCUACACCUUGCACAUCGGUACCGGAAUUGAGGUGGCGUGGCCAGCAGUCGUAACACCGGUAGUCCCGCCAGCCGUCGACGAGCAACAAACAAAGCUCUUUUUAGAUCGAUAACUCACUGGCUCGAGAGUGAAAGGCGAAAGAGAAAAAGAUGGAUCGAUGCCGGCGGAGUCUCUUUGUAAAUUCGUUGCCCCGCCGUUUUCAGCUUUAAAUAUUUGGAAAUUGCUGACACGAAAUUCUUCAGAUUUACUAUAUAAUGCACAAUUCAGUCUUGAUUACAAAUUUCAAUUACGCCUUUAUUACGAUAUCUUAAAUUACUUCGAUCUAUGUGCUCAGGUGUUCAGAAAAUAGUAUACAGACUGUUGCUUAUUCCCAUUAUAGGUACUCGAGUGUUUUUAACGUCUAUCAAUACCUAUUACUGCAGCAGUACGUGCGAAGAGAAUAGUCGAGGUCGUAAUAAAUGGAUACGAGACAUUUAGUAUAGAUAUGUACUGUGUUAUACGUAUAACGUAUACUAUUCGAUCGAGAUACAUACUAUGUAGUAUCUUUCCUAGAAAGAAACUUCAAAAUUACGUAUAGUACUUUCUUAUUUCCAUUGAUAUUUUACAGAUAUGCGUAUAACAUGCUACAAAAAAGAAAGAGGAGGAAGAUCUUAUAAUCGAUGCUUGAGAUGAAAUGUUUAACGCGAACACACUAUAAUGAAGAAAAGGAACGAAGCGGCACGAGUAAACUUAAUGAAAACAAACUGUACGUAUAACGACGCAGCGUAACAAUAAGGAACGGAACGUGAGAUACUCGAGGAGAAUGAACGGAAAGAAAACACCAAAAUCAUGAAGAUGAACUAAGAUGCUGAUUACGCUUGAACGAUAAGACUGAUAAUACAGAUGAUACUGGUAUCACUGAAGGUGGUCUCUCCAGUUCGCCGUGUAUAUCGAUCGUGGUUGUGACGUCAUAACGACGUCAGCCGAAUGAAUUCGGUGAAGAUCGGCUUCAAGACUUCCGACACCCGAGAUUCGGUACACGGUGCAUAACCUGCCGAUUUGUCAGGCCACUACAUGCGGCGAACGUUGCUACAACAGCGUGCGUAGAAGGCAAUUCAUAAUUCGAGAUAGCAUCAUAAAUGACCGAUAACGGUGAUCGAUAGUAUCGUUAAAAAUAUUUUUAUAAUUUUAAAAAGUAACUUUUUUUUCCGUCGCUUUUCACACGUUUCUUUGUCAUCGACCAAAUGGAUAUCGAAUACACUUCCCUGACUGUGUAGGAGAUUAGCAUUCAUGAGAUACUAAUGUAUGCAUGGGGACGCAAUCUGUUUCACAGAAGUACUUCAUCGAUAAGUACAACGUCAAGUGAUUUGAAAUUUAUAAUCUACAUUAGAUAUCGAAAUUUAUUAAAAAUAGCAGAUGUCCUGAAACUUUUGAGUGGCUGUGCGCAGUGAACUUCUUAUGGCGAUGUUAAAAUGAACUAUGGUACAGCCGUUCAAAAAAAUAUCAGCUUCAUACACAUGGUCGAAUGUGGCGAACGUACGGCGAUGGUGAUGAACACGAGGACACGUUUUACCAUCGCGUAAUCGGUGCACACGCGAUUGAUCUAUCGAAACGUGUCGUCAGCAAAGAGAUUUCAGCCUCGGUUUGGUAUCAUACAUUAAUACGUGCCUAGCUUUCUAUGUACCACUUAGAAAAAAUAUCACGCCGCGUUGCUCGCGCCACUUUACGACCCUGCGUGCAAAUAUCCCGGCGAGAAUAUCGCCGUUGCACAAGGCGACCUGUACACGGUUACGACCUUGACACUAACCUAGCACAACGGCCGACCACUUAUACCGGGUUACGGCGGAAAUACUACGCAAGGAUCUCUUCCUUUACACCGGUAAUCUCAUCCUGUCGAUCCUCGCCCCCUCUUCCCUCGGGAGUCCUGCGGAUAUCCUCCCCCUAUCGCCCGGCCAAUUUUCUCCCAACUCCACGACAGAUUCUGUAUCCCUAUUUCCUCUUCUUACUGUACAUUUAUCUCAAAUAUUUUUUCUUUCUUUCACUCGUCCUUUCUUUGAUCGUUUUUUAAGUUUAUCUUAAUCCUCCAUGAGAUCGUUUAUGCGACCCUAGGUGCGACGUUUUAUUCGUGCACUUCUUUAAAGCGAAUUUUUCUCUUUUCCGAAGAACCUUUUAAUUCUUGGGUCCUGCGAGGAUCUAUUUGUCCAAUUAUCAUAAAUCUCGGACACUAGGGACAUGUAACAUCGAAUAAUAAUCGACGGGCUAAGGAUCGCGCUGGUGUAAGUCAGGAUCAUAAGGAUUUCUUAUUUCAAUUCUCAAAUGUACCAUCCGUUUAGUUCCACAUUUAAUUAAGUUAAAAAUUUAUUCUAGACUUGAAGCGAUAUAGUGAACUUUUUAUAAUAAUAAAUACAAAUCGUUAAGAGCUUGUAUAAUAAAUAGGGAAGAAAAAUUAGGCCUGGGUAGAAAGGAUGCAGCUUGUUCACGGAAGAUGCGAAUGUAUGUAUAGUCAUGAAAGUUAAAGUCAUAAAAAGUGACGAAGGUUAGAUCAACUUGAGGUCUAUUUUGGAACGUCUUCGAGCCGAUCGUGUUCCAAGUUUAGGAUAGAAAGCUAACGUGAACGUCUUCCAAGGACUUCAGGCUGCGGAGCGAUAAUUUAAAGGUGGCAAGCGCGUGCAGGUAUUGGCCUUCGUUCGCACUAAAUUCCUUGUGGGUUGUUUUAUCGCGUCGCGGUGAAUUCCAAGGACCUUAACCUUGCGAUAUUAAUCGUGUCGUGCAUUCUGCGCGCGUAGAUUUACGUGUCACCUUUUCUACAGCAGCGCAGAUCUAUGUGUUCACCUAGCCUGCAUUUCUAACCAAAUUCAAGGUCUCGUCUGGCUCUCAUAGCGUGAUUUAGAAUCGCGUUUUUGAGCAGAAGAUGCCACGAAGCUCUUAAUUAAAUUUUCGUCCGCAAAAAUUGGCCCGCGAAUCUCGUAAAUCAGCCGCCUUUCACGUAUUCGCAUUAAUGCCGCAAAAAAAUAUAGUAAUUUCCAGAGAACCACUGUAAUUAUGCGAGCGUUGGAAUAAUUUAUUCGGAACCGGUUAUUUUGUUUUUCGAAAUGUAAACGCGCUCGAGAUCGAUCGCUGGAAUUAUUAUUAGUCGAAAACACGACAUCCGAGAGGAACGGGGAAUAUUUUCAAGCAGGGGAAACCUAAUUUGCACGUGUAACAAAACGAAUUAAGUUUUUCCGUAGGGCACGUAAUUUCUGAUUCAUUGGUUUUUGCAUUAAAAAAAGUACCAUUAAUUACGAAGAAAUGUAACUUAUACAGCUUUCAACCGUAAAACUCUAUUCCAUUCUCUUCAGAGUUUACAUGUUCUAUCUAUCUGGCAUUUCUUCAUUUUUUAACAUACAUUCGAAAUGUCUCGUGUCUUUUAUCUUCUGAGCAAAAUUGUCAUAUACAGACUGUUGCGAAAUAACGGUUAAAUAUCCGAAAUUGAACGAAGAUAAAUAAAUAUGGUACGAAGAAAAUGAAAUAGUAGCCAUGAUAUUCAAAUGGAGCACGGUAGUAUUUGAAAUAGGAUUUCCUGAAUUUCUUGUGCGUAAACGUGAGCAUAGCAAAUUCAAAGGGAAAUUGCACGCACCUUUAAGGAUUCGGGCAGGUAGCCAGCAAGGAAGUCCAAGAGUCGAGGCAGCUCUUCCUCGGUGAGCAGACGAAAGUUCCGGCCUCGUUCCAUCGCUUCGGGGCACUCCAUGCUGAAACUAAUUACCAAGAGAUGAUUGUGAAUAAUAAUCGAAGAAACAUGGAAACAUCGUAAAGAUGAAAAAGAAAUACAUAAAUUGACGUGCGAUUAGCGAGCAUUAAAAGCACGAGAUCUUAUUUCCAUGCUCGUUCACAGAUGUUUAUCGAUGGACGAUGAUUACAUAAUUACAGGUACUUUUGAACUUUCAAAUGUUAGAGAGCCAACACUUUCUGUGCAUAGUCAAGGUCUAACUUUGGUUUAUCGUGGCAAGCAGAAUGUGUCCACGUGUUACACACAUCCAUCAUCGCCCGCGCUAAUUGUUUCAACCUUCCAACCUUGUUUCGCAUGAGAGAGAGAAAGAGAGAGAGAGAGAGGGAGGGAGAGGAAGAUAGAUAGAAAAUUAUAAAUGAAAAUUUAAUUGGAUAAUUACAAAGAUGACGAACAUGCUAUGAAGACCAGCACAUUCCUUUUAAGGGUUUUAUACAUUUUUAUAGACUUUUGUAGAGCACAGAAUUUGUCGAAGACUCAGGCUCGAAAGUAAUAGAUAUUUUUGAGUUAAAUACGUAUUUAGGGCAUUUCAAAAAAAAAGAAGUCGAGUUUUAGAAAACGGAUUCCUAAAAGAUUUUCUGGAUGAUACUGAUUUAGCUUCUAAGAAUUGCAAAACAAUUUCAAAAAGAUAAGAAUUUAAUAUUUUUAAGAACUAGAGAUCAAAAUUCAAGAUAUUCAGUGCUCGAGAACUUGUGAUUUCAAAGGUUAAAGAAUUACGUAGAAUAUAAAGCAACUUAGGAUGACUUAAUCUUUUGCCUAUAUACAUAGAGGAUGAAGCUAAAGCACAUUAUCUUUCAAAUAUCGAUAGCGUGCGUUUGUAACACUCUUACCUAACCCUGUACUAUCAACAAAGUCGUCGAUGAAUAAAAUAUAAUUUCUGUGCCCUUCGUCAUUAGCUGAGAAUUAGAGGGAUCUCCGAUGCCAUUUUAACGAUGCAAUACAUUAUAGCACUAUAACAAGAAAAUAACGUUAAUCGGGAUUAAGAUAAGCGAUCUAUCGCUUUAAUUUUCUUGCAAGCGAUUUAUUUUAUCAGCGAGAAAUUACAAAAGCCGUCAAAUUUAGCGUUAAUAAAAUGAACGUUUAGUAUUUUAACUUACUUUUGUCAGUAGAUAAAUUAACUGUUGUUGACAAAUUAAUUGUACCGUAAAAAUACUUUACACAGGAUAUCAAAGUACACUGAAUUUAUUAAAAGCAAACUAUUAAACUUGCUGACCGCGAUGUAGCCUUUAUCGUGAAAGAUUAAUUGCUGUAAUCGAUGGACCGAAAACACAUAUGGACAAUAUCGAUUAGCCGCAUGUAUAAACAUAAGGUAGUAUAUCGGAAAAUUGAACGAAAACAUUGAAUUUUUAUUGAGUUUAUGUCUUAUACAAAGAAACUCGUUGUUAUCAAUAAAUUACUUUCGGAAUAGAUUCAUCUUGCUGGGUAAGGCCUUUGUCCUUGAAUAAAUCGGUUAAAGCGUAAAACUGCGUAUCUUUUAGUAUCAUGGACGCCAUUAGAAUUAAUAGGAAUAUUUAUUUUGCAACAUUAUAUCAAACAUACUUUUAACAGUACGAUGAUUUAAUUAAAUGGCGCAAUUAAACGAGUUUUUCAGCUUAGGAUAACGAUACGUGUGAGGAAAGUAAUCUCACUGAGAGAAUUAAGUAUAGACACAGGGAAAUCCAGCAAGAUGUAAUAGGAUUGUCCCUCAUGACCCAUAAAAUCCCGAGAGCACUGAAAAGAAUAAUUCUUUUGAACUCGCCCACCUAUUUUAUUUCUCGUUUCCUCCAAAGAGGGAAUAUUUUUGUUUAGAUAUUUCGUCAGACAUUUUCUUGCCAAUUUAUUAUCGCAACUUACCCCUUGCCGCGUGUCUGCGUAAUUGCUUGCCUAUUUUCACAGUAAAAUAGAACAGGCAUCGUCCAAAUCUAGUUGAUUCGACGGCACCGUAUUUUGAAAUCGAUCGAAGGAACAUUUUUAAUCAACCACAGAAAUAAGAAUGACAAAGAAAAUGAUAAAUGGAGAACAAACAUCGAGACGUGGCACGUUCACAGCAUCCCAAGCUGCUUACGAUGAGUCUUCACUUACUGGUAAGUAAUCAACGAUUAUAU